rnacentral:rRNA from 1 species
AUUGAACGCUGGCGGCAUGCCUUACACAUGCAAGUCGAACGGCAGCGCGGGAGCAAUCCUGGCGGCGAGUGGCGAACGGGUGAGUAAUAUAUCGGAACGUGCCCUGGAGUGGGGGAUAACCAGUCGAAAGACUGGCUAAUACCGCAUACGAUCUACGGAUGAAAGUGGGGGAUCGCAAGACCUCAUGCUCGUGGAGCGGCCGAUAUCUGAUUAGCUGGUUGGUGGGGUAAAAGCUCACCAAGGCGACGAUCAGUAGCUGGUCUGAGAGGACGACCAGCCACACUGGGACUGAGACACGGCCCAGACUCCUACGGGAGGCAGCAGUGGGGAAUUUUGGACAAUGGGCGCAAGCCUGAUCCAGCAAUGCCGCGUGCAGGAAGAAGGCCUUCGGGUUGUAAACUGCUUUUGUCAGGGAAGAAAUCUUCUGGGUUAAUACCUCGGGAGGAUGACGGUACCUGAAGAAUAAGCACCGGCUAACUACGUGCCAGCAGCCGCCGCGG